UAGAGUUUGAUCAUGGCUCAGGAUGAACGCUAGCGGCAGGCCUAACACAUGCAAGUCGAGGGGUAUAUAGUGCUUGCACUGUAGAGACCGGCGCACGGGUGCGUAACGCGUAUGCAAUCUACCUAUUGCAGGGGAAUAGCCCAGAGAAAUUUGGAUUAAUGCCCCAUAGUAUUAUUGAUAGGCAUCUAUUAAUAAUUAAAGAUUUAUCGGCAAUAGAUGAGCAUGCGUACUAUUAGCUAGUUGGUGUGGUACGGCACACCAAGGCUACGAUAGUUAGGGGCCCUGAGAGGGGGAUCCCCCACACUGGUACUGGAACCCGGACCAAAACUCCUACGGGAGGCAGCAGUGAGGAAUAUUGGGACAAUGGUGGGAACACUGAUUCCAGCCUGCCGCCGUGCAGGAAGACUGCCCUAUGGGUUGUAAACUGCUUUUAUACGGAAGAAACCCUCUACUGGUAAAGAUUUGACUGGACCGUCGAAUAAGGAUCGGCUACUCCGUGCCAGCACCCGCGGUUAUACGAGGAUCCGAGCGUUAUCCGGAUCAUUGGGUUUAAGGGUCCGUAGCCGGGCUUGUAGUCAGUGUGAAUUCCGCAGCUUACUACUGACUGUGUUGUUGCUUGUGAACCUGUGAUCCUUGAAUUCUGUUGAAUUGUUAGAGUAUGUAGUGAACCGUGAAAUUCUUAAGAUUUACCUGGAAACCCAUUUGCAAGGCGGAUACCUAUAAUACCUUGGACCCUAAGGGACAAAGCGUUGGGUAACAAACCAGGAUAUAUCCCCUGGUUUCCCCCCCCUUACCAAGGU
rnacentral:rRNA from 1 species